CCUAUAAAUAGGAGCAUCAACCACACAACUUCACACACCUCUUCUCCGAUAAUUCUAAACACCAAAAGUUCUCUCCAUUCUCUAGUUUUCAGAAGCUCUGUGUCUUCAAGCAAGGAGGAGAAGAAGUCAUGUAAUACAUCAAGAUCCUAGCCGCCAUCCACCCUUGUGUCGUCCCUAGAAGAUUGCUUGCUUUCAAGGAUCUUCAAGUUCUUCGUCUCAAGGCUUGUCAUCCAUCUUUCACGGUGUACCCUCAAUCCCCGGCUUGAACGAUCCCUACUUAUUCUAUACUGACAACUACAUUUUGCAGGGUUAAAUUGCGCAAUACUUUUAGCGUUAUCAUUUAUGGGCUUCUUCACUCUGCCAUUGAUAACUGUUGCUUUGUCUUCCAUAUCUUGGCUUCGUCUCUUUCUUUUGGUCUUCCUUUGGAGGCUACCCACACUACUACAAUUAUAUGCUAUAAGGACACCUAUCAAGGACACAUUAUUCAUGUGGUGUCCUUGAAGGGUUAUAAGGACACUCACAUAUAAAUGAGAUUAUUUAGAGGGUUGAGACUAUUCGGAGGACACAGCCGGCCUCUUGAAUGUGGUGUCCUAAAUAAGCCAAUUUCAGUUUACUGCUCCAAAACAACUCCAAAAUUUGCUUUCGCGCCCGAGCCCUCUCCCUCCCCAAAUUUCGCUUCCUCCCUCCCAAAUUUCACUUCCCUCCUCCCCAAAUUUUCGACUUCCCUCUUCAAUUAAAACCCACUAGAAGAGGAAAGAUGAUGUUUCUUUUAAUCUAUUUCCAGUUUUUAGAACAAAAAAAAGAAACUCGAUCUGAAAGGAGCUUCGAGCUGAUUCGAGUCGGUGGAGGAGGUGGCGACUACAAGGUGACUCGCAACAAGGUCCAACUCGUAGUAAUGGUGUGAGGGUUCUUGGGUUCAAAAUCAAAACGACGAUACGUCGUCUCUCCUCUCUCUCUCUCUCUCCGGCACAGCUGCACGGCCCCUCUAUUCUCAGCCUCUCUCUCAGUCGCCGGUGACAUUGUUGAUUUGCUACCUCGCUGUCGAAGGCUCGAACUCUUCACUCUUGGUUUGCUCUCUUCGACUCUUCCUCAAGCUGUGAUUCUGUGAAGCUCGGUGACUUAAGCUUGGAGAAAUUUGGGUUCGAUUUCUGGGUUCAAGUUCGGUGAUUCUUCAAGCUCAAUUUAUGGGUUCGAAUUUCUUGAAUCUCUUGUUAAGUUGCUGGGUCCGAUUAAGUUUCUCAUUCUUAAGUUUUUGAUUUUGGGCUGUGGUGUUUCUGGGUUCAAUUAAGUUGCUGGGUUCGAGCUGUGUUGGACGACUUUGCUUACUGUAUCUGUUUUGAAAUAUCAAUAUUUGGCCUCUGUAUCUAUUUUGGAUGGGAAUUGAAUCAAUUGAUUAAUUAAUAAUUGAAUUGCAUUUGUUUUGGCCUCUGUGAAUGAGAAUUGAAUCGAUUGAUUGAUUGAAUUGCAUAUUUGCAUCUGUUUUGGCCUCUGUUAAUGGGAAUUGAAUCGAUUGAUUAAUUGAAUUGCAUUUGCAUCUGUUUUGGCCUCUGUGAAUGGUUGUUGAAUGUUGAAUACUGUUUUUGUUUAUAUAAUUACAUGAUUUCUUCUGGUCAGCCAGUCAAUGAGUACAUUGACGCAGCUGUGAGACAUAUUCUCCUUAGGCAGGGUGUUCAUUAAGGUCAAGAUCAUGCUUGACUGGGAUCCCAAUGGCAAGCAAGGACCCAUGACUCCUCUACCUGAUCUUGUUACAAUCCACCAACCAAAGGAUGAUGAAUUGAUGAAUUGAUGAGACAUAUCAUGGGUUCAGUGGUUAGUGAGAUAGGGAAAGCUUUUUUGAAGCAGCUGAAAGUGUUCCUGAGG